CGGAGAGUAGCUCAGAUGGCUAGAGUGCACGCUUUGGGAGCGUGAGGCCGCGGGUUCGAGUCCCGCCUCUCCGACCA
rnacentral:tRNA from 1 species